UACAGAGGUCCCAAGCGUUGUUCGGAUUCACUGGGCGUAAAGGGUGCGUAGGCGGUCGGGUAAGUCUGAUGUGAAAUCUCCAAGCUUAACUUGGAAAUGGCAUCGGAUACUAUUCAGCUCGAGGAAUGGAGGGGAGACUGGAAUACUUGGUGUAGCAGUGAAAUGCGUAGAUAUCAAGUGGAACACCAGUGGCGAAGGCGAGUCUCUGGACAUUUCCUGACGCUGAGGCACGAAAGCCAGGGGAGCAAACGGG
rnacentral:rRNA from 1 species